ACCGCCUGCCCCCACCUGAGCAAGACUAGACACAAAUGCUAGCUCACACUCUCACUGCGACAGGGGAGGACAGAGUGUCUAGUGCCAGGCCCAGUGAGCGAGAUCUUGGCAAGACUCACAGCUGCACACCUGCAGGACCAGUCCUGUGCUGGCCCACAGCCUAUCACCUGUCAUCGCUUCCCCCUUCAGAGGCCUGGGGGUGACUCCCCUCCGCCCCCAGCCCUGCCGUUCCGGCUCCGCCCUCUGCCCUUCUCCACCCUUGGUGGCACCUGGGGUGCUCUUAUUGUGGCCCAAGCCACAGCCCACUUUGUCAGAGAUUACCACACCCUCCCCCACCACCACCGCCAGGAGGCAUGGGCAGCAUGUCCCUGUACUGGAGGUGCAGGUACCCCCAGUUGAACACUGUAUGUGUACCCUAGUCCCCAACUGCUCCGGGCCCCAAGACCAGCCCUCUACUUGCCAGCCAGAGGCUGCUCAGCCCUCCACUGUCCUCGCCCCCAACGUCCACUGGACUCCAGCCCACUUGUGCAGCUAUUAUGACGCCUCUGGAGAGGAGCGCAGCGGGGAUGAGGGGGUGUUGCACCAGCUCGACAGGAGGGAUCCCUGCCACUGCCAUAGCUGCUGACCCUCAAACCCAAUUUCUACAACCCUUCCCAGAUGAUUGGGCAACCUCACUGGGUCAGCUGGUGGACCAGCGGGAUUUAGCUCUGCAGCCCCAGUGCCAGGGCUUCACAGUCACCCCAGGACCCAGGCACACACCAAGUUCACAGUUCAAGGGCCUAUCCCGCCUGCAUGGGGGGCGGGGUGCGCAUACAGCCAUUGCAUGUGCGAGCAUCCCUUUGUGAUGCAACCCUUUGUUGCACGUGCCGCCUUAUCUACUCAAACCUUUAAAAGCUGGGUCCUGGCCACGGGUCUGACAUUGCCCUUUCGCCUCAAGCCGCGCUGGCAGCAGAAGAAGGACCCUUUGUGCUCAGCUCUGGAAUCCCUGAAUCCCGUCGUCUUCCCUAACCCUUACUGCUGCCAUGGGUACUUCUCAGGGAGUCUUAUUAAGGAAUUUGGGGCCUGCCUCCACGAGAUGAAGAUGAGGACCACCUUUAUCUUCUAUUAGACGCAGCGUCUCUGGUCUGAUUCCUCAGUCUGCCAUCUUGAAAGCCUGACCGUGCAGAACCCCUGAAGCUUUCCUGGGAGGAACCAUCACCACCUUCAGAAAGGCCACCUUGACUUGGAGAAGAUGACCAAGGCUCAUCAGUGGAUGUGUCCUGUCUUGUGGAAACCCUCACAGUACUUCUCUGGGAGCUCGAGGAUGGCCUGGUGCCUGCCCUGCAGCAGGGUAACACCCCCUAUGUCCAUGGGGUUUUGUAUUUGUACCAAGAUUUGGCCAGUACCCAGAAGGCUCUGGAGCUGCUGGGUAAAAGGUAUGGACGCCUCCAGCCAUAUGUUGAGGAGGAGUACCUUCAAGACAAGAAGUGAGUGGUCUUUGGGCCAAGAGGGAGGGCUGCUGUCUCGAGAGUGGUCACUUGGGGGGCUGUUGUAGAGGAUGGCUGGGCAGACCUCAGGGUCUACCCUGUUGUUUCCCAGCAGAGGACAGAGGUCUGGGGCUUACUCUGUAGAAGGAACAAAGCAAGCUGUGGUGGGAUUCUGGGUACCCAAGGAAGAGAAGCGUGGCUGGAGCCUCAGAGCCAGG